UCUUUCUCAGCAAUACAGUUCGUUUCCACAAUAUCGUGCCAUUGUUGUUGUAGUUUUUAAACAAUUUUCUAUUACUACGUUGGGUAAUUUUCGUAAAAUGGUUAAAAGUAGUUGUAGUUUUGUCAGUAGAUGUAUUACGAACGUCGUAUUUAACGGUACGUGUUGUGGAAUUGUAUGCGUAAUGUUGUGAAUUUAUUUUUGCUUAAAUUUUGCCAAAAUUUUUCUACAAAAAAGCAAAAAAUUAAAAAAAUUGUAAAUGGAAUAUUUUUAUUGAUAAAAAAUUAAAAGAAAUGUGAAAAAAUCUACUUAAAAAAUAUAUAUAAAAAAUAAUAAAGUUAAAUAGAAAUAGUUAAUAAUAUUUAUACUUAUACAAGUUUUAAAAAAUUAUGUUGAUUGUAACAUUAAGUGUUUAGUUUUUAAAGCAUCUUUAAAACAUCAGCAACUUCGGGGAAAACGAAAAGUGAUUUUUCUUAUAUACCAACAGCUGAGCAAACGAAUGCCAUUGUUUAUGUGAAAAAUCAAAAUUUAUACGAAAUAAAUAAUAAAAUAUUCCCUAAAAGCUAUAAAAAGUAAAAAC